GAAAGUCCCCUCCUUCCUUCCCUUCCUGGUAAUUAUGCAGAGACAUACAUGAAUACUUAUUAUUGUUUGGGGCUUAAAGACAUACUUUGCCUUUUCUGCAUUUCUACUGAAAUAGUAAUUCUUUCAGGGUGAAGCUUCACAUAUGAAGUCUCAAUUCCAGCUGCCACAUCAUUGUGUAUAAAGGCAUCACUCCCUGUGUCCCUGUGGGAAUUUCUUUCCAAUCCCCAAAUUGCUGAGACAAGCACCCUUUCACACUCCAAGGAACUAUGAAUUCUCACUCCAUUUUUUGACACAUGGAGACUUCUCUUUCUUUUUGGGGGUAACAAUAUACUUUAUUGAUGGUACAUGACAAGCAAGAUAUGCACAUUUAAGACAGUCCGUCUAUUGGAGGGAAAAAAAUUACCGAAACAUGAAAACCAUGAACCAAAACACGCACAUACCUGCAAAUGGAAUUGAUGAAGACACUGGAACAAUGCUCCAUCCCAAUUCAGAGGAACCAUCUAUUGGUUACAUAGCUCUAGACGUAUAUAGAAUUAAAAAAUAAAAUACUGGCACCGAUAUUCUUUGUAGCAUGUGAGAAGUCUAUAUAAUUUUUGGAGUGUUGUGUUUCCAUUUCAAUGAAAUUAAAAAAUAAUUCCCUUCAUUCUUACCUUAGACCACAUUACAAUAAAUACUUCCAAGAGAGUUUAGUGUUCA
rnacentral:lncRNA from 1 species